AUUGAACGCUGGCGGCAGGCUUAACACAUGCAAGUCGAGCGGAGAUGAGGUGCUUGCACCUUAUCUUAGCGGCGGACGGGUGAGUAAUGCUUAGGAAUCUGCCUAUUAGUGGGGGACAACAUUCCGAAAGGAAUGCUAAUACCGCAUACGUCCUACGGGAGAAAGCAGGGGAUCUUCGGACCUUGCGCUAAUAGAUGAGCCUAAGUCGGAUUAGCUAGUUGGUGGGGUAAAGGCCUACCAAGGCGACGAUCUGUAGCGGGUCUGAGAGGAUGAUCCGCCACACGGGGACUGAGACACGGCCCAGAAUCCUACGGGAGGCAGCAGUGGGGAAUAUUGGACAAUGGGGGAAACCCUGAUCCAGCCGUGCCGCGUGUGUGAAGAAGGCCUUAUGGUUGUAAAGCACUUUAAGCGAGGAGGAGGCUACUGAGACUAAUACUCUUGGAUAGUGGACGUUACUCGCAGAAUAAGCACCGGCUAACUCUGUGCCAGCCGCCGCGGUAA
rnacentral:rRNA from 1 species